GUCUACGGCCAUACCACCCUGAACGCGCCCGAUCUCGUCUGAUCUCGGAAGCUAAGUAGGUUGGUUAGUACUUGGAUGGGAAAAUCAGCAAAGGGGUCAUGGGAAAAUAGCUCUGACA
rnacentral:rRNA from 2 species